CGCGAAGAACCUUACCCAAGGCUUGACAUAUACGAGAACGCACUGGAGACCAGUGAACUCUUUGGACACUCGUAUACAGGUGGUGCAUGGUUGUCGUCAGCUCGUGUCGUGAGAUGUUGGGUUAAGUCCCGCAACGAGCGCAACCCUCGUCGCAUGUUGCCAGCACGUUAUGGUGGGGACUCAUGUGAGACUGNCCGGGGUCAACUCGGAGGAAGGUGGGGAUGACGUCAAAUCAUCAUGCCCCUUAUGUCUUGGGCUUCACGCAUGCUACAAUGGCCGGUACAAAGGGCUGCGAUGUCGUAAGGCGGAGCGAAUCCCAAAAAUUCCGGUCUCAGUUAGNUUUGNCGNUCGUCGAAACUCCGCUUCGAGGGCGCACCNCUUUACGAGUUCNGGGUUNGUNAAGCNACUNCCNUNUUANNANCUG
rnacentral:rRNA from 1 species